CAGCAGCCGCGGUAAUACGGAGGGAGCUAGCGUUGUUCGGAAUUACUGGGCGUAAAGCGCGCGUAGGCGGUUACUCAAGUCAGAGGUGAAAGCCCGGGGCUCAACCCCGGAACUGCCUUUGAAACUAGGUGACUAGAAUCUUGGAGAGGUCAGUGGAAUUCCGAGUGUAGAGGUGAAAUUCGUAGAUAUUCGGAAGAACACCAGUGGCGAAGGCGACUGACUGGACAAGUAUUGACGCUGAGGUGCGAAAGCGUGGGGAGCAAACAGGAUUAGAUACCCCGGUAGUCCCUGUCUCUUAUAA
rnacentral:rRNA from 1 species